CCAUCAGCGAGCCACUUGCCCGGCAGGAGCUGCGCAGGGCCCUUCUCCUGCUGGGCUACCGGUUCAGCGAGGAGGUGGUCGGAACCCUGCUGGGCUGCUCACGGUCAUGUGACAGUGUUGCUGCGGAGAUGUGGAAGAUGCUGACAUCCCAGCCCAACACCUCAAGAAAGAUCCUUGGGGAGCUGGUCAGCAGGCUGCAGGAGCCGGCUCGGCGACGGUAUCAGCUCUCUGAGAGACCGGCUGGCUUCCCCCCCUUGGCCCUGCAGGCCACAAGAGCCCUGUAUGUGAUCCUGCAGGAGCAGGCCUGCAGGCAGGAGGUGAAGGAGCUCUUCC